rnacentral:rRNA from 1 species
GCUUGAGUAGUACUAGUUAUGUUCUUGAACUUAAAGAAUUUGGCGGUAUCUUAUUCCGUUCAGAGGAAUCUGUCUCGUUAUCGAUAGUCCGCGUUGGACCUUACUUAGUUGCUAUGGUUUGUAUACCGCCGUUUAUUGAUUAUGCUUUUAGGGUUUUUAAUUUUCUGGUUUCUUUGUUUUGGUUUAUUUCAGGUCAAGGUGCAGCUUGUUUCUAAGUGUUAUUGAUGGAUUACAUUGUUUUUUGUUGUUUGGAUUGCUGGUUGAGAUUAUUGGUAUGAAAUUGGAUUUGAUUGUAAUGUCUUGAAGAUUGUUUUCGUGAUAUUUGGUUCUAAAAUAUGUACACAUCGCCCGUCGCUCUUAGCCGCAGGGUGAAAAAGACCCCGCCCACACCUCUUAGCCAUGUUGGGACUGAGGCCCAUCAUGACUGGCCAGAGGGAUGAG